UACGUAGGGUGCGAGCGUUGUCCGGAAUUAUUGGGCGUAAAGGGCUCGUAGGCGGUCUGUUGCGUCAGGAGUGAAAACUCGGGGCUUAACCCCGAGCCUGCUUCUGAUACGGGCAGACUAGAGGUAUGCAGGGGAGAACGGAAUUCCUGGUGUAGCGGUGAAAUGCGCAGAUAUCAGGAGGAACACCAGUAGCGAAGGCGGCACUCUGGGCCGGUACUGACGCUGAGACGCGAAAGCGUGGGGAGCGAACAGG
rnacentral:rRNA from 1 species